CCAGCCUUCAGGAAGAUCCCUUUUCCGAAGCAAGGAAGAAUACUUCCAGGGCAAAGACAGACACGGGAUUUGAAGAGCAACCAUGGUGGUUUCAUCACCUGAGCUUCAGUUGGUGAGGACACCCAAAAAAAGGACCCUUGAAGCUGACCACACUGAUAAGAGGGCAUGCAGGCAAGCAAGGAGGGAGCAGAAUUUCAAAGACAUCGAAACAAACAGAACAA